AUACCUCUAUCUUGCCCUAAGCUUACACUAUGAGUUACAUUAUCAACCAUGAGUUUUAGAGAAGUAUUGGAGAUAGAAUCUUUAGAAAGGAGCAAUAGAAAACCAGUAUCGUGAGAGAAGGAUUCAAAUAAAAAAGAGAAGAGUUAAACCCUUGUCCCUUGUGUAUCAUGGCUUAGCCAUUAAUCUGACUUAUAUUAAGUAUUCCGAAACCUAGUGAGCUACUAAUCCCCUGUUAAGCACCCAAUAGUCCUUGUGGCAAUAAGGUUAAGAGAGGUUCUAGUAGAGAUGAGAUGUCAUACGCACUAAGUAAUAGCUGAUUUCUAGAGAAAUGUAUAAAAGUACAGGAAAGUAUCACCUUAUCCUCCCAUUAAAGGGAUAAUCUUUUAAUGGAAUAAGCUUUAUGAACAAUUAACCUUCUAUCAUAGCCUAGGCUUAAAAUCAGCCCUGAGCAUCAAUCAAGUUACAUUGUAAUGAAGAAGAGAGGUAUAAUUAUAUACUCAUAAUCUUAAUUUAUUUAGAAAUUCUGACUAACUUAUUUCAGAAGAUAUUCUGCUAAGAUAAGUAUAAUGUAUAACUAACUUCUAACUUAUAGUGGAAUACUCCAUUUAUAAAGUAUGAAUAAGGAACUCGGCAAAUAAAAGCUUCGUCUGUUUAUCAAAAACAUAGCUCUUUGGUAUUAUGAAAGGUAUAGCCUGCCCAGUGGGAUCUCAACGGCUGCAGUAUAUUGACUGUACAAAGGUAGCAUAAUCACUUGCCUUGUAAUUAGGGGCUGGAAUCAAUGGCUGGACGAGAGCUUAACUGUCUCAUUCAUACACCUAAAAACUUACCUCCAAGUGAAAAGGCUUGGAUACUAUAAAAGGACAAGAAGACCCUAUUGAGCUUUAGAGAAUUAACUUAUAACAACAGUUAUUAAAUACAAGUGUCAUUAAGUAAGUAACUUUGAUUGGGGCAAUCGAAGUACAGUAUGAACCACUUCUUAGAGAUUUACUCAUGAGUAUAGUCAUAACUAAAGAUGAUCCUACAAUUAAGAUCGGAAGAAUAAGUUACCAUAGGGAUAACAGCAUAAUUUCUCCAGAGAGCUCUCAUCGAAGGAGAAGUUUGUGACCUCGAUGUUGGA
rnacentral:rRNA from 1 species